rnacentral:rRNA from 1 species
GACGAACGCUGGCGGCGUGCUUAACACAUGCAAGUCGAACGGAAAGGCCCUGUUGGUGUGGGGUGCUCGAGUGGCGAACGGGUGAGAAACACGUGAGUAACCUGCCCUUCACUUUGGGAUAACUUCAGGAAACUGGGGUUAAUACUGGAUAGGAGCUCCUGCGGCAGGGUGGGGGAGGGAAAGUUUCGGCGGUUGGGGAUGGACUCGCGGCUUAUCAGCUUGUUGGUGGGGUAGUGGCUUACAAAGGCUGGGAGGGGUAGCGGGCCGGUGAGGGUGACCGGCCACAUUGGGACUGAGAUACGGCCCAGACUCCAAGGGGAGGAAGCAGUGGGGAAUAUUGCACAAUGGGCGGAAGCCUGAUGAAGCAACGCCGGGUGCGGGAUGACGGCCUUCGGGUUGUAAACCGCUUUCGCCUGGGACGAAGCGUGAGUGACGGUAACGGGUAAAGAAGCACCGGCUAACUACGUG